AGAGCAGAUUGGAUGAUCGCUGGCGUUGCAAAAUGCCAGAGGAAAGUCCGAACACCAGAGGACGGCAGGCUGGCUAACGGCCAGGCGGGGCGACUCGACGGAAGAGUGCAACAGAGAAUAGACAGCCCGAACGGCCGCGAGGCGCGUGGGCGAUGGUGAAACGGUGAGGUAAAGGCUUCACCAGCAACGGUGGCGACAUCGUUGGCUAGGCAAACCCCCUGCGGUGCAAGACCAAAUAGGGUGAUGAUUUGAGUUGGUCCGAUUCAGUGCCGGUGCAAGCCGGACGCGUCACCGGGUAGGUCGCACGAGCGCUUCAGUAAUGACGCGCCUAGAAGAAUGAUCAUCCCUCGCAAGAGGACGAAAUUCGGCUUAUAGAUCAGCUCUGUGA
rnacentral:RNase_P_RNA from 1 species